AACGCACCUUGCGCUCCUUGGUAUUCCGAGGAGCAUGCCUGUUUGAGUGUCAUUAAUAUAUCAAUCUUCUCUUCUUGAGUUGUUUGGAUGUGGGGGUUUGCUGGCCUCUUAAGGAGGUUUCAGCUCCUCUGAAAUGCAUUAGCAGAACGACCUGUUCAUUGGCGUGAUAACUAUCUACGCUAUUGAAUGUAAGGGGCAGUUCAGCUUUCUAACAGUCUUUGGACAAUUUAUCAUUAAUGUGACCUCAAAUCAGGUAGGACUACCCGCUGAACUUAA
rnacentral:misc_RNA from 1 species